rnacentral:tRNA from 1 species
GGGCCUGUAGCUCAGUGGUGAGAGCAUGGGACUCAUAAUCCCUUGGUCGUGGGUUCGAACCCCACCGGGCCCACCA